GGUUAAGCGACUAAGCGUACACGGUGGAUGCCCUGGCAGUCAGAGGCGAUGAAGGACGUGCUAAUCUGCGAAAAGCGUCGGUAAGGUGAUAUGAACCGUUAUAACCGGCGAUGUCCGAAUGGGGAAACCCAGUGUGAUUCGUCACACUAUCGUUAACUGAAUACAUAGGUUAACGAGGCGAACCGGGGGAACUGAAACAUCUAAGUACCCCGAGGAAAAGAAAUCAACCGAGAUUCCCCCAGUAGCGGCGAGCGAACGGGGAGCAGCCCAGAGUCUGAAUCAGCUUGUGUGUUAGUGGAACGGUCUGGAAAGUCCGACGGUACAGGGUGAUAGUCCCGUACACCAAAAUGCACAGGUUGUGAACUCGAAGAGUAGGGCGGGACACGUGGUAUCCUGUCUGAAUAUGGGGGGACCAUCCUCCAAGGCUAAAUACUCCUGACUGACCGAUAGUGAACCAGUACCGUGAGGGAAAGGCGAAAAGAACCCCGGCGAGGGGAGUGAAAAAGAACCUGAAACCGUGUACGUACAAGCAGUGGGAGCACCUUCGGGUGUGACUGCGUACCUUUUGUAUAAUGGGUCAGCGACUUAUAUUCUGUAGCAAGGUUAACCGUAUAGGGGAGCCGCAGGGAAACCGAGUCUUAACUGGGCGUUAAGUUGCAGGGUAUAGACCCGAAACCCGGUGAUCUAGCCAUGGGCAGGUUGAAGGUUGGGUAACACUAACUGGAGGACCGAACCGACUAAUGUUGAAAAAUUAGCGGAUGACUUGUGGCUGGGGGUGAAAGGCCAAUCAAACCGGGAGAUAGCUGGUUCUCCCCGAAAGCUAUUUAGGUAGCGCCUCGUGAAUUCAUCUUCGGGGGUAGAGCACUGUUUCGGCUAGGGGGUCAUCCCGACUUACCAACCCGAUGCAAACUACGAAUACCGAAGAAUGUUAUCACGGGAGACACACGGCGGGUGCUAACGUCCGUCGUGAAGAGGGAAACAACCCAGACCGCCAGCUAAGGUCCCAAAGUCAUGGUUAAGUGGGAAACGAUGUGGGAAGGCACAGACAGCCAGGAUGUUGGCUUAGAAGCAGCCAUCAUUUAAAGAAAGCGUAAUAGCUCACUGGUCGAGUCGGCCUGCGCGGAAGAUGUAACGGGGCUAAACCAUGCACCGAAGCUGCGGCAGCGACACUAUGUGUUGUUGGGUAGGGGAGCGUUCUGUAAGCCUGCGAAGGUGACCUGUGAGGGUUGCUGGAGGUAUCAGAAGUGCGAAUGCUGACAUAAGUAACGAUAAAGCGGGUGAAAAGCCCGCUCGCCGGAAGACCAAGGGUUCCUGUCCAACGUUAAUCGGGGCAGGGUGAGUCGACCCCUAAGGCGAGGCCGAAAGGCGUAGUCGAUGGGAAACAGGUUAAUAUUCCUGUACUUGGUGUUACUGCGAAGGGGGGACGGAGAAGGCUAUGUUAGCCGGGCGACGGUUGUCCCGGUUUAAGCAUGUAGGCUGGUUAUCCAGGCAAAUCCGGAUAAUCAAGGCUGAGGUGUGAUGACGAGGCACUACGGUGCUGAAGUAACAAAUGCCCUGCUUCCAGGAAAAGCCUCUAAGCAUCAGGUAACAUCAAAUCGUACCCCAAACCGACACAGGUGGUCAGGUAGAGAAUACCAAGGCGCUUGAGAGAACUCGGGUGAAGGAACUAGGCAAAAUGGUGCCGUAACUUCGGGAGAAGGCACGCUGGUGUGUAGGUGAAGUCCCUGCGGAUGGAGCUGAGACCAGUCGAAGAUACCAGCUGGCUGCAACUGUUUAUUAAAAACACAGCACUGUGCAAACACGAAAGUGGACGUAUACGGUGUGACGCCUGCCCGGUGCCGGAAGGUUAAUUGAUGGGGUUAUCCGUAAGGAGAAGCUCUUGAUCGAAGCCCCGGUAAACGGCGGCCGUAACUAUAACGGUCCUAAGGUAGCGAAAUUCCUUGUCGGGUAAGUUCCGACCUGCACGAAUGGCGUAAUGAUGGCCAGGCUGUCUCCACCCGAGACUCAGUGAAAUUGAACUCGCUGUGAAGAUGCAGUGUACCCGCGGCAAGACGGAAAGACCCCGUGAACCUUUACUAUAGCUUGACACUGAACAUUGAGCCUUGAUGUGUAGGAUAGGUGGGAGGCUUUGAAGCGUGGACGCCAGUCUGCGUGGAGCCAACCUUGAAAUACCACCCUUUAAUGUUUGAUGUUCUAACGUUGGCCCCUGACCGGGGUUGCGGACAGUGUCUGGUGGGUAGUUUGACUGGGGCGGUCUCCUCCCAAAGCGUAACGGAGGAGCACGAAGGUUAGCUAAUCCUGGUCGGACAUCAGGAGGUUAGUGCAAUGGCAUAAGCUAGCUUGACUGCGAGCGUGACGGCGCGAGCAGGUGCGAAAGCAGGUCAUAGUGAUCCGGUGGUUCUGAAUGGAAGGGCCAUCGCUCAACGGAUAAAAGGUACUCCGGGGAUAACAGGCUGAUACCGCCCAAGAGUUCAUAUCGACGGCGGUGUUUGGCACCUCGAUGUCGGCUCAUCACAUCCUGGGGCUGAAGUAGGUCCCAAGGGUAUGGCUGUUCGCCAUUUAAAGUGGUACGCGAGCUGGGUUUAGAACGUCGUGAGACAGUUCGGUCCCUAUCUGCCGUGGGCGCUGGAGAAUUGAGGGGGGCUGCUCCUAGUACGAGAGGACCGGAGUGGACGCAUCACUGGUGUUCGGGUUGUCAUGCCAAUGGCACUGCCCGGUAGCUAAAUGCGGAAGAGAUAAGUGCUGAAAGCAUCUAAGCACGAAACUUGCCCCGAGAUGAGUUCUCCCUGAGACUUUAAGUCUCCUGAAGGAACGUUGAAGACGACGACGUUGAUAGGCCGGGUGUGUAAGCGCAGCGAUGCGUUGAGCUAACCGGUACUAAUGAACCGUGAGGCUUAACCUUAC
rnacentral:rRNA from 1 species